UCCUGCCAGUAGUCAUAUGCUUGUCUCAAAGAUUAAGCCAUGCAUGUCUAAGUACGGCUCUAGUACGGUGAAACUGCGAAUGGCUCAUUAAAUCAGUUUUGGUUCAUUUGAUCGUGAAAGUUACAUGGAUAACUGUUGUAAUUCAAGAGCUAAUACACGCUAAGAGUGUCGCUCUCUGGGCGGCGCGCUUUUAUCAGACCAAAACCAAUCACCUUCGGGUGUUCAUUGUGGUGAGUCUGGAUAAACUAGCUGAUCGCAUGGUCUCGAACCGGCGAUGGAUCAUUCAAGUGUCUGACCUAUCAACUGUCGAUGGUAGCGUAUUGGGCUACCAUGGUUGUAACGGGUAACGGAGAAUUAGGGUUUGGUUCCGGAGAGGGAGUCUGAGAAACGGCUACCACAUCUAAGGAAGGCAGCAGGCGCGCAAAUUACCCAUUCCCGACUCGGGGAGGUAGUGACGAAAAAUAACAAUUCAAGACUCUUAACGAGGCCUUGAAGUUGGAAUGAGUACACUUUAAAACUUUUAACGAGUAACUAUUGGAGGGCAAGUCUGGUGCCAGCAGCCGCGGUAAUUCCAGCUCCAAUAGCGUAUACUAAAGUUGUUGCGGUUAAAAAGCUCGUAGUUGGAUCUUGGAAUGUGUUCAAGCGGGUCAGCUUCUGGCUGUGCGCUGCUUGACGUGUUCUUCUAUUUGGUUUUGGUGCGGUGCGCUUAACUGCGUGUCGCUCCCGGCCGAAACGUUUACCUUGAAAAAAUUAGAGUGUUCAAAGCAGACCUGUUUGAGUCUGAAUAUUCGUGCAUGGAAUAAUGAAAUAUGAAUUCGGUUCUAUUUUGUUGGUUUUCGGAACUCGAGUUAAUGAUCAAGAGGGACAGACGGGGGCAUUCGUACUCUGCCGUUAGAGGUGAAAUUCUUGGAUCGGCGGAAGACGCGCAACUGCGAAAGCAUUUGCCAAGAAUGUUUUCUUUAAUCAAGAACGAUAGUCGGAGGUUCGAAGACGAUCAGAUACCGUCCUAGUUUCGACUGUAAACUAUGCCAGCUAACGAUCAGACAGAGUUCUCUACGACUUGUCUGGCAGUUUCCGGGAAACCAAAGCGUUUGGGUUCCGGGGGAAGUAUGGUUGCAAAGCUGAAACUUAAAGGAAUUGACGGA
rnacentral:rRNA from 1 species